AUAGGAAAUCUCUCAACAAGAGGUCUACCAGAUAACGUACCGUUUUGGACCCGGGAAUUUCGUCUUCUUCGGGAAGUGGUCUCAGGUCGCGCACGCACGAUGCAUCGAGAUUUUGCCAAAUCAAAUGUGAAGCUGACCAUACCACGGACGGAAACUAUGAGGACUCUGUUGACUAAGCCAUUCCUAAAUUACAUCCAGUGUUGUAGUCUCAAUUUCAUCCAAUUGCGA